AUUGAACGCUGGCGGCAUGCUUUACACAUGCAAGUCGAACGGUAACAGGGUGCUUGCACCGCUGACGAGUGGCGAACGGGUGAGCAAUGCGUCGGAACGUGCCGAGUAGUGGGGGAUAACGCAGCGAAAGUUGUGCUAAUACCGCAUACGUACUGAGGUAGAAAGUGGGGGACCUUCGGGCCUCACGCUAUUCGAGCGGCCGACGUCUGAUUAGCUAGUAGGUGAGGUAAAGGCUCACCUAGGCGACGAUCAGUAGCGGGUCUGAGAGGAUGAUCCGCCACACUGGGACUGAGACACGGCCCAGACUCCUACGGGAGGCAGCAGUGGGGAAUUUUGGACAAUGGGCGAAAGCCUGAUCCAGCCGUGCCGCGUGUCUGAAGAAGGCCUUCGGGUUGUAAAGGACUUUUGUCAGGGAGGAAAUCCCUAGUGCUAAUAACACUGGGGGAUGACAGUACCUGAAGAAUAAGCACCGGCUAACUACGUGCCAGCCGCCGCGGUAA
rnacentral:rRNA from 1 species